GGUGAGGCGUGCUAUACAUGCAAGUCGAGCGAAUGGAUUAAGAGCUUGCUCUUAUGAAGUUAGCGGCGGACGGGUGAGUAACACGUGGGUAACCUGCCCAUAAGACUGGGAUAACUCCGGGAAACCGGGGCUAAUACCGGAUAACAUUUUGAACCGCAUGGUUCGAAAUUGAAAGGCGGCUUCGGCUGUCACUUAUGGAUGGACCCGCGUCGCAUUAGCUAGUUGGUGAGGUAACGGCUCACCAAGGCAACGAUGCGUAGCCGACCUGAGAGGGUGAUCGGCCACACUGGGACUGAGACACGGCCCAGACUCCUACGGGAGGCAGCAGUAGGGAAUCUUCCGCAAUGGACGAAAGUCUGACGGAGCAACGCCGCGUGAGUGAUGAAGGCUUUCGGGUCGUAAAACUCUGUUGUUAGGGAAGAACAAGUGCUAGUUGAAUAAGCUGGCACCUUGACGGUACCUAACCAGAAAGCCACGGCUAACUACGUGCCAGCAGCCGCGGUAAUACGUAGGUGGCAAGCGUUAUCCGGAAUUAUUGGGCGUAAAGCGCGCGCAGGUGGUUUCUUAAGUCUGAUGUGAAAGCCCACGGCUCAACCGUGGAGGGUCAUUGGAAACUGGGAGACUUGAGUGCAGAAGAGGAAAGUGGAAUUCCAUGUGUAGCGGUGAAAUGCGUAGAGAUAUGGAGGAACACCAGUGGCGAAGGCGACUUUCUGGUCUGUAACUGACACUGAGGCGCGAAAGCGGGUACC
rnacentral:rRNA from 1 species